rnacentral:rRNA from 1 species
UACGUAGGGUGCAAGCGUUGUCCGGAAUUAUUGGGCGUAAAGAGCUCGUAGGCGGUCUGUCACGUCGGCUGUGAAAUCCCGAGGCUCAACCUCGGGUCUGCAGUCGAUACGGGCAAACUAGAGUAUUGCAGGGGAGACUGGAAUUCCUGGUGUAGCGGUGAAAUGCGUAGAUAUCAAGAGGAACACCUGCGGCGAAGGCGGGUUGCUGGGCUGACACUGACGCUGAGGCGCGAAAGCUAGGGGAGCGAACGGG